rnacentral:rRNA from 1 species
UAUGCAUAUUUUAUAUGUAGAAACUGCGAACGGCUCAUUAAAACAGUUAUAAUCUACUUGACAUUUUAUUAUAAGGAUAACUACGGAAAAGCUGUAGCUAAUACUUGCUUUAAGUGCUUUUUACUCUCCGGAGUAAUUAGCAUGUAUUUGUUAAGCCUUAUAAGAAAAAUUUUUAAUUAAAGGAAUUAUAACAAAGAAGUAACACAUAAUAUAUUUACUAUAUUUAGUGUGUAUCAAUCGAGUUUCUGACCUAUCAGCUUUUGAUGUUAGGGUAUUGGCCUAACAUGGCUAUGACGGGUAACGGGGAAUUAGAGUUCGAUUCCGGAGAGGGAGCCUGAGAAAUAGCUACCACAUCUAAGGAAGGCAGCAGGCGCGUAAAUUACCCAAUUCUAAAUAAGAGAGGUAGUGACAAGAAAUAACAAUAUAAGGCCAAAUUUUGGUUUUAUAAUUGGAAUGAUGGGAAUUUAAAACCUUCCCAAAAAUCAAUUGGAGGGCAAGUCUGGUGCCAGCAGCCGCGGUAAUUCCAGCUCCAAUAGCGUAUAUUAAAAUUGUUGCAGUUAAAACGCUCGUAGUGGAACUUCAAGGGUAUUAUUAUUUUAAGCAACUCACUUGGCUAGAUUCUUGGCUCCGCCUCGAUAUCUCAUGCCUCGUUGCAGUUCUUUUAAUUACUGGCCCUUUGAGAGCCCACUGAUUUAUCAUUGGGCUCUCGUUACUUUGAGUAAAUUAGAGUGUUCAAAGCAAACAGUUAAAGCGUUUUCGCGUUUGAAUACUAUAGCAUGGAAUAACAAAAUUGAACAAGUCAAAUUUUUUGUUCUUUUUUCUUAUUUUGGCUUAGUUAC